rnacentral:rRNA from 1 species
CCAUCUCAGUUCGGAUUGCAGGCUGCAACUCGCCUGCAUGAAGCUGGAAUUGCUAGUAAUCGCGGAUCGGCAAGCCGCGGUGAAUACGUUCCCGGGCCUUGUACACACCGCCCGUCACACCAUGAGAGUCGGGAACACCCGAAGUCCGUAGUCUAACCGCAAGGGGGCGCGGCCGAAGGUGGGUCCGGUAAUUGGGGUGAAGUCGUAACAAGGUAAC